UGAGGAUGGCGGACGGGUGAGUAACGCGUAAGGAACUUGCCUCUUGGUCUGGGACAACUGUUGGAAACGACAGCUAAUACCGGAUAUUAUGAGAUUCUCGCAUGGGAAACUUAUGAAAGCUAUAUGCGCCAAGAGAGAGCCUUGCGUUCCAUUAGCUAGUUGGUGGGGUAACGGCCCACCAAGGCGACGAUGGAUAGCCGGCCUGAGAGGGUGAACGGCCACAAGGGGACUGAGACACGGCCCUUACUCCUACGGGAGGCAGCAGUGGGGAAUAUUGGACAAUGGGCCACAAGCCUGAUCCAGCAAUUCUGUGUGCACGAUGAAGGUCUUCGGAUUGUAAAGUGCUUUCAGUUGGGAAGAAGAAAGUGACGGUACCAACAGAAGAAGCGACGGCUAAAUACGUGCCAGCAGCCGCGGUAAUACGUAUGUCGCAAGCGUUAUCCGGAUUUAUUGGGCGUAAAGCGCGUCUAGGCGGAAAAAUAAGUCUGAUGAAAAAUGCGGGGCU
rnacentral:rRNA from 1 species